GAGGAUGAGCAACGGCUGCGCAAGGAACGGCGAAGCAUUUCUCCUUUUUCCCUCCUUUCAGAGGGAAACAAUGGCAACCCGAUGUGGAGUUUAUGAAGGAGAUGGAAGGCGCCGUCAUGUAUCCCAGCAAAAUGACAGAAAAAUGGGCCCCUCCACCAUGGAAUAACAGGGAUCCCAUAGUGGGGAGAAUGGCUAACAUCACUCUCAACUUUGGGCCCCAACAUCCUGCCGCCCACGGGGUUUUGCGCCUGGUGAUGGUGCUGAACGGGGAGAACGUGAAGAAGUGUGACCCCCAUAUCGGCCUGCUUCACCGGGGGACAGAGAAGCUCAUAGAA